UACGUAGGGCGCAAGCGUUAUCCGGAAUCAUUGGGCUAAAGAGCGUGUAGGCGGCCUGGUAAGUCCGCUGUGAAAGUCCAGGGCUCAACCCUGGAAUGCCGGUGGAAACUGUCAGGCUCGAGUCCGGAAGAGGCGAGUGGAAUUCCUGGUGUAGCGGUGAAAUGCGUAGAUAUCGGAAGGAACACCUGUGGCGAAAGCGGCUCACUGGACCAUUACUGACGCUGAUGCACGAAAGCUAGGGGAGCAAACAGG
rnacentral:rRNA from 1 species